rnacentral:lncRNA from 1 species
GAAGAAGGGCCACAACAUUUCAAGGUGGUCAUGCAGCACCCUGCCUCAUUCUCUCCAGCAAGACACAGUAUCUUGAGGUGUCCUGGCAUUAAUGUUUGCAGAAAAAAUUCUGAUCGGUGAAACUUUAAGUUUUGACACCACCGAGGAAGAGGUAAACAAAAUGAGGCUGGAUAUAGCCACCACCCUCCUCCGGGAAUCUGACAAUCUCAGCAGC